GACAGAGGUCCCGAGCGUUAGGCGGAAUCACUGGGCUUAAAGCGUGUGUAGGCGGACUUGUAAGUACCUUGUGAAAUCCCACGGCUUAACCGUGGAACUGCUUGGUAUACUGCUUGUCUUGGGCCACUUAGGGGCUACCGGAACAAACGGUGGAGCGGUGAAAUGCGUAGAUAUCUGGAGGAACACCGGUGGCGAAGGCGGCGUUCUGGACUGCAACUGACACUGAGGAACGAAAGCCAGGGGAGCAAACGGG
rnacentral:rRNA from 1 species